AAGUGUUAAGUCUUGGUUACUUUAUAAGUUAAGGCUAGAUUUAAAUAAAAUGCAAGACGGAAUUAGUAUUGAAUAAAACUUUGUUUAUAUAUCGAUAAUGACGGUAUAUAUAUUAUGUCUUGACCAAUUACGUGCCAGCAGUCGCGGUAAUACGUAAGAGACUAGUGUUAUUCAUCUUAAUUAGGUUUAAAGGGUACCCAAACGGUCACAAAAGACUAGAGUUAUAUAGAAGAAGGUAGUACCUUCAGUGUAGAGAUUAUAUUUGGUCAUACUGGAGGGACUCAGAAAAGGCGUAGGCAACCUUCUAAGUAAUAACUGACGUUGAAGGACGAAGGCAUAGGUCACGAACAGGAUUAGAUACCCAAGUAGUCUUUGCAGUCAAUUAUGAAUGCCAUAGGUUAGAUAUUAUUUUAGUCUAUCCAUGAAAGUGUAAGCAUUUCACCUCAAGAGUAAUGUGGCAACGCAGGAACUGAAAU
rnacentral:rRNA from 1 species